rnacentral:rRNA from 1 species
AGUGAACGCUGGCGGUAGGCCUAACACAUGCAAGUCGAACGGCAGCACAGAGGAGCUUGCUCCUUGGGUGGCGAGUGGCGGACGGGUGAGGAAUACAUCGGAAUCUACUCUGUCGUGGGGGAUAACGUAGGGAAACUUACGCUAAUACCGCAUACGACCUACGGGUGAAAGCAGGGGACCUUCGGGCCUUGCGCGAUUGAAUGAGCCGAUGUCGGAUUAGCUAGUUGGCGGGGUAACGGCCCACCAAGGCGACGAUCCGUAGCUGGUCCGAGGGGAGGAGCAGCCACAGUGGAACGUAGACACGGUCCAGAAUCCUACGGGAGGCAGCAGUGGGGAAUAUUGGACUAUGGGCGCAAGCCUGAUCCAGCCAUACCGCGUGGGUGAAGAAGGCCUUCGGGUUGUAAAGCCCUUUUGUUGGGAAAGAAAUCCAGCUGGCUAAUACCCGGUUGGGAUGACGGUACCCAAAGAUUAAGCACCGGCUAACUUCGUGCCAGCAGCCGCCGUAA